rnacentral:lncRNA from 1 species
UGUGCACUAACUCCCCUCAGUCACUGGCUUUAAUAAAGGGACUCAAAGCUGACACCGUGUGGCACAUCUCCAUUGUUCUAACUCACUCAUCCAUAACAGCUGGAGACCCAAGCAAGAUGGUCAGAAUGGGGAGAUUCACUUUGAUGUGGUUCCUCCUGUCUGCAGUCUGUAAGGGAGGCACCCCCUGAGACUUGCCGCUGCCAGAUAGUCUCAUUGCUGACACUGAGAAAACUGCAGAGAUGCCUGAGACAACUUCCAAAUAUUGUGGCAUAUAUCUGGUCUGGUCUUCAGCUUCUAUUUUUGGGUAUCUCCUGCCUGCCCUAAGUCUCUCUACUAUGAGAUCAUCAUCUUCACAACCUGUUACACCCAUAGUCUUCAUGUAGUCAGUUCUGCGGCAGUCAGAAGGUAAGGAAGCCCUCCCCCAUCCACCGCCAUAUAACCCUAGUUCACCCCUCCCUCCUGUCCUUUGUGACCCUCCUGCCACCAACUCCCUCAUAUUUCUCUCUACUUCUCCUGCCACCUCUCCCCCUAUAGGAGAGCAUCUCCCAUCCUGGCAGGAGGGCACCACAUCAGGAAGAGGCAAUCCAGAGACUCUUGCCUUUGAGAGAUGCCCCUCCUCCCAAUAAGGCAGGCCCAGGAACUGGCCCAUUCUCUUAUAUGUUCCCUUUUCCACUUCUGAUCUCUACAACUCAAAAACCAAGAAUCCACUGUUCUCUGAGAAUCCCCAGGUUCUACUUU